ACCGCGUGAUCCCACGCGUGGACCGCGAGUGAAGCUGGCCAAGUCGAAGCACUGCCCACUGUAUUUGUUAAACACAAAUUUGAACGAACACUUCUUGUCUAUGCAAAGUUUCCCUGUAGGUAAUCCAGACAGGCUGGGUGCUGGAGAGGGCUCUGGACUCCUAACUUCAAUUCUCGUCUGUGCAGUCGACACUCAGAAGCAUCACUUCAGCACUGAUUCCAUGAUCUGGAACAUUUUAAAAAUUACCAGAUGGGGCAGAAGUCAUUGAGCAGUGGCAGCUUCUGAUUUCAAGGACUUUGUUCACCUUUAUUUACAGCAUUUGCAUCUGUGUCUUUAAAGUGAUCUAAUAUGUAUUGACUAUGUACUAGCUUAGUACAUAUUAGUUUUUGUUAUUUUAGUUUCACAAAUUCAGUGGUUACCUGUAAUGCUCAAGAUAUACAAGUAAAAAAUCACCUUUA